CAGAUGUGAAGCAGCUUCUUGAUCUUGUGAAGAGCCCAGACUAUAAACUGGAGACUCUGUGGCCUUGGGAGAUAUCUUCGUCUGUUCAGAGUAGCUCUACCUCCACAAAGAAGUCAUCUUCAUUUAGUUGCUCUAUCUGCUGACAGAGGAUGAGCUGUGUCCUGAUGAUCCAGAGGUUGAAGCAGACUCUGACUGGACCAUGUUACUGGGAGGUGGAGAGGAGAGCUUCAUCCACAUGGUCUCCAUUUAAGACCAUCAACAGAGCUGCACUUCAACUCUUCACAGAGCUCCAACAAAUCAAGUCCAGUCCCUCAUCAAUGAUUCAGACAUGUCACCCAGUCAGCAUCAGUAGUCCGUCCCGAUGUUGUCUACAUGUUUGCUCCUUGUCUGAUGUCUCCAAUAUAAUGACCAAGUUAAUCAUCAUGAAUCAACACUGGUCCAGGACACUCUUUUCGGUGAAGUAGUCUCCUCCAUGGUGAACACUGGUCUAGGUCUCUCUCAUCCAGGAAGUAAUCUCCUCCAUGGAGUGAACUUGUUCAUUUUCAUGACCUAUUGAAAUAGUUCUGGCAGUUUUCAAAGAUCUGGCACUUUAACCUGCAAAUAAGUUGAUGCUUGUCAACCAGGUCACCAUCACAGUCGAGUCAGCCAGAACCAAAGUCAGGAUUUUCACCAGCCUCCCUUUCACCAAACAGUUUAGACUGGUAUAUCUGGUUAGUCACUUUAAAACUAGACCCUGGUUCAAAAACCUCUCAGUGGCUUUACAUUUCUACAGUCUGCAUUUCCAUCUUUCAUUAUGUUACGUCUGAGUUUCCAUUUGCUAUGCUGCUGUCCACUUGAUCAGAUUGUCAACAGCUUUAGAGUUUAUUGGUUGUGAUCUGGAAUCACUCUGAACAUUACACUAAAAUCCACAGAGUGUCUUUAACAAGUGAAUAGUUGUCAAAUAUUGUACAUACCAAGGGACCUUAACUCAUCACAUUAGUUCAUCUACUGUGAAUUUAUGACCAGAUAUGUUCAAAAAUGGCAUCAAAUCCUCACAUUGGAGAAACAUGACAAAUAUUUGGAUGUUUUUCAUUUAACAGACUAAAAAUAAUAAUAGUGUCAACAUGUCAACAGAUGGAUGAAUACUGUAAUUACUGCCGCUCCACUCAGUCCUGACCUCAACCCUGACAUAUAAAAAAACCCCAAUCACAUCAACGUCAAACCUGCAGCGCCCCCAGCUGUUGGGACACAGGAAUCACAAUCAGUAAAAACUUGAUUUUAAGUGUUGCUUUUGUUUAGUUAUUCAUAUCAAGUAUUUCUCAAACCCAGAGAUAUUUUUCUUACAACCAGGAAAAACAUUUAAAGGUUUUUAAAAACACUUUAAACAACUGUUUCAUACUGAAUAUAUCAAUAAAUGAUACUGAAAUAA